GCUUUAUAUGUUUAAUUUAGUUGUUCAUUGCAUGUUCAUGACUUCAUAUGUAUGUUUCAUUUCACUGGUUGUUCUGUCGGUUUUCAAAGCUCUUCAGAGCUGAUGUUUGUAAAGCUAAAAUGUCUUAUGCUGAACCUCUAAACUUACAUGUAUAUCAGAUUGCAGUCAGAAAGAUUUCAUUGAUGUGAUUUAACAGGUUGGGAACAAACCCUCUAUAGGGUGAUUAUACCUGUAUAGAGGG
rnacentral:lncRNA from 1 species